UUGAACGCUGGCGGCAGGCCUAACACAUGCAAGUCGAGCGGCAGCGCGGGGCAACCUGGCGGCGAGCGGCGGACGGGUGAGUAACGCGUAGGAAUCUACCCAGUAGCGGGGGAUAGCCCGGGGAAACUCGGAUUAAUACCGCAUACGCCCUAAGGGGGAAAGCAGGGGAUCGUAAGACCUUGCACUAUUGGAAGAGCCUGCGUUGGAUUAGCUAGUUGGUAGGGUAAAGGCCUACCAAGGCGACGAUCCAUAACUGGUCUGAGGGGAUGAUCAGUCACACCGGAACUGAGACACGGUCCGGACUCCUACGGGAGGCAGCAGUGGGGAAUAUUGGACAAUGGGGGCAACCCUGAUCCAGCCAUGCCGCGUGUGUGAAGAAGGCCUUCGGGUUGUAAAGCACUUUAAGUGGGGAGAAAGGUUCGGCAGCUAAUACCUGCCGGAAGUGAUGUUACCCACAGAAUAAGCACCGGCUAACUCUGUGCCAGCAGCCGCCGCAG
rnacentral:rRNA from 1 species